rnacentral:tRNA from 1 species
GCGAUUAUAGCUCAGUGGUAGAGCAUUCGACUACAGAUCGAGAGGUCACCGGUUCAAAUCCGGAUGUUUUCU